UACGUAGGGUGCAAGCGUUGUCCGGAAUUAUUGGGCGUAAAGAGCUCGUAGGCGGUCUGUCGCGUCGGCUGUGAAAACUCGGGGCUCAACCCCGAGCCUGCAGUCGAUACGGGCAGACUAGAGUGCUGUAGGGGAGACUGGAAUUCCUGGUGUAGCGGUGAAAUGCGCAGAUAUCAGGAGGAACACCGGUGGCGAAGGCGGAUCUCUGGGCCGAUACUGACGCUGAGGAGCGAAAGCGUGGGGAGCGAACAGG
rnacentral:rRNA from 1 species